rnacentral:rRNA from 1 species
UACAGAGGUCCCGAGCGUUGUUCGGAUUCAUUGGGCGUAAAGGGUGCGUAGGCGGUCUUCUAAGUUUGAUGUGAAAUCCCGGGGCUCAACCCUGGAAUUGCAUUGAAUACUGGAGGACUAGAGUACCGGAGAGGAAACUGGAAUUUACGGUGUAGCAGUGAAAUGCGUAGAGAUCGUAAGGAAGACCAGUGGCGAAGGCGAGUUUCUGGACGGUAACUGACGCUGAGGCACGAAGGCCAGUGGAGCAAACGGG